GUCCAGUGCAUACCCCCCUCCCUCCCCCCUCUACCCCUUCCCCUAUCUCCAGAUCCACCGCCUCCUCGCCGCUCCUCUCCGCCGCGGCCAGGACUAGAGGGCCACGGGCUUCGCCGCCGCGGUGGACGGGGACGCCAGGCCGCGAGGAUGCUGACCAAGUUCGAGACGAAGAGCAACCGGGUGAAGGGCCUGAGCUUCCACCCGCGGCGGCCAUGGAUCCUGGCGAGCCUCCACAGUGGGGUGAUCCAGAUGUGGGACUACCGCAUGGGCACCCUCCUUGACCGCUUCGACGAGCACGACGGGCCUGUCCGCGGCGUCCACUUCCACGCCACCCAGCCGCUCUUCGUCUCCGGAGGUGAUGAUUAUAAGAUUAAAGUCUGGAAUUACAAGACACACCGCUGUCUCUUCACACUUCAUGGGCACCUUGACUAUAUUCGCACCGUGCAAUUCCAUCAUGAGUACCCAUGGAUCGUAAGUGCUAGUGAUGAUCAGACAAUACGGAUCUGGAACUGGCAGUCACGCACCUGUGUGGCUGUGCUGACUGGGCAUAACCACUAUGUAAUGUGUGCAUCUUUCCAUCCCAAAGAGGACCUGGUUGUAUCAGCAUCACUUGAUCAGACUGUUCGCGUCUGGGAUAUUGGAGCUCUGAGGAAGAAGACAGUAUCACCUGCAGAUGACAUCCUCCGUCUCACCCAGAUGAACACAGACCUAUUUGGCGGUGUUGAUGCUGUUGUGAAAUAUGUCUUGGAAGGCCAUGACCGUGGAGUCAAUUGGGCCUCGUUUCAUCCCACUUUGCCACUCAUUGUUUCUGGGGCAGAUGACCGGCAGGUGAAGCUAUGGAGAAUGAAUGACACCAAGGCUUGGGAAGUUGAUACUUUGAGGGGCCACAUGAAUAAUGUGUCUUGCGUGAUGUUCCAUGCAAAGCAAGACAUCAUUGUGUCUAACUCAGAAGAUAAAAGCAUUCGCAUUUGGGAUGCCACAAAGAGAACUGGUAUUCAAACAUUUAGGCGGGAACAUGACCGUUUCUGGAUUCUUGCUGCUCACCCUGAAAUGAAUCUUCUUGCUGCUGGUCAUGACAGUGGCAUGAUUGUGUUCAAACUAGAGAGGGAACGCCCAGCCUUCUGUGUAAGUGGUGAUACUGUUUUCUACGUGAAGGACCGAUUUCUCCGGUUCUUUGAAUACUCUACCCAGAAAGAAGUUCAAGUGGCUCCCAUAAGAAGGCCUGGAUCAGUUAGCUUGAACCAGUCACCAAGGUCUUUAUCAUACAGCCCAACUGAAAAUGCUGUCUUGAUCUGUUCUGAUGCUGAUGGAGGCUCAUAUGAACUCUACAUUGUUCCUAAGGAUUCAGCUGGCAGGUCUGAUUAUUUGCAAGAGGCAAAGAAGGGAGCUGGUGGUUCUGCAGUUUUUGUGGCGCGCAACAGGUUCGCAGUCCUUGAGAAGAGUAGCAAUCAAGUUUUGGUCAAGAAUCUUAAGAAUGAAAUUGUGAAGAAAAGUCCCCUUCCAAUUGCGACUGAUGCAAUAUACUAUGCUGGGACUGGCAACUUGCUGUGCAAAGCAGAAGAUCGGGUGGCCAUCUUUGAUCUUCAGCAAAGACUGGUUCUUGGUGAGCUCCAGACCCCUGCUGUUAAAUAUGUUGCUUGGUCCACCGAUAUGGAAUCUGUAGCACUGUUGAGCAAGCAUGCAGUGGUUAUAGCUAGCAAGAAGCUUGUCCAUCGUUGCACAUUGCAUGAAACUAUCCGUGUGAAAAGUGGUGCCUGGGAUGAGAAUGGCGUGUUCAUUUACACUACAUUGAACCAUAUGAAGUACUGUCUUCCCAAUGGAGAUAGUGGGAUCAUAAAAACCCUUGAUGUUCCUAUUUACAUAACAAGGGUUGUUGGGAACAAUAUUUUCUGCCUAGAUCGUGAUGGAAAGAACAAGUUGAUUGCAGUUGAUGCAUCUGAAUACAUUUUCAAGCUCGCACUUCUCCGAAAACGCUAUGAUCAUGUUAUGAGUAUGAUUAAGAACUCCCAGUUGUGUGGACAGGCUGUUAUUUCUUAUUUACAGCAGAAAGGUUUUCCAGAAGUUGCUCUGCACUUUGUGAAGGAUGAGAAGACCAGAUUUAACCUAGCUCUUGAGAGUGGUAACAUUCAAAUUGCAGUCGCUUCUGCAAAGGAGAUUGAUGACAAGGAUCACUGGUACAGGUUGGGGAUUGAGGCCCUGAGGCAAGGAAAUGUUGGCAUUGUGGAAUAUGCAUACCAACGAACAAAGAAUUUUGAGAGGCUUGCUUUUCUGUAUCUUAUUACUGGUUAUUUGGACAAGGUGGGCUUCAUGUGCAAAAUUGCUGGACAGAAUAAUAAUUUGAUGGGACAGUUCCACAAUGCACUAUAUCUUGGGGAUGCUAAGAAGAGAGUUGAGAUCUUGGAGAAUGCUGGGCAGCUACCGCUUGCUUAUGUUACUGCAGUCACUCACGGGCUCACUGAAAUUGCUGAGAGGAUCUCUGCUGAAUUGGGGGAAAAUGUUCCUUCACUGCCUGAAGGAAAAUCUCACUCACUGCUGAUUCCCCCUGCACCGCUUACAGCCUGUGGUGAUUGGCCAUUGCUGCGUGUGAUGCGUGGAAUUUUUGAAGGUGGACUGGAUGCAACUGGAAGGGCAGAGCUUGAGGAAGAUGAUGAAGCUGCUGGUGCUGACUGGGGUGAUGAAGAUUUGGAUAUUAUUGAUGCAAGUGAGGUGGUGGCAAAUGGUGCUGAUGGUUUUGUUGAUGCGGAGGAGAAUGAACCAAAUGAGGAGGAUGGUGAGGAAGGCGGCUGGGACCUGGAAGAUCUGGAACUUCCACCUGAAACAGAGACUCCAAAAGCUGCUGGCAAUGCUCGCUCUGCUGUAUUUGUUGCUCCUACACCAGGCAUCCCUGUCAGCCAGAUUUGGACUCAGAGAUCUUCUCUGGCUGGGGAGCAUGCAGCUUCAGGGAACUUUGACACAGCAAUGCGUUUACUUAACCGCCAGUUGGGUAUCAAGAAUUUCGCUCCCCUGAAGCCCUUGUUUCUUGAUCUGCACAUGGGCAGUCACACAUAUCUGCGUGCACUUGCUGCUGCUCCGGUAAUAUCAGUUGCUGUUGAGAAAGGAUGGAAUGAGUCUGCUAGCCCUAAUGUGAGGGGCCCUCCUGCACUUGUUUUCAGCUUCUCACAAUUGGAAGACAGACUCAAGGCUGCCUACAAAGCCACAACAGAGGGCAGGUUCCCGGAAGCACUGAGGCAGUUCCUAAGCAUCUUACAUACCAUUCCUGUUAUUGUGGUGGACUCACGGAGAGAAGUUGAUGAAGUGAAGGAAUUAAUUGAGAUAGUGAGAGAGUACGUUCUUGGUCUGAAAAUGGAGCUCAAGAGAAAGGAAUUGAGGGAUGAUGUUACCCGUCAACAGGAGUUGGCUGCUUACUUCACUAAUUGCAAGCUUCAAAGAGUUCAUAUGAGGCUUGUGCUUGCAAGCGCUAUGGCUCUUUGUUUCAAGCAGAGAAACUAUGCUACUGCAGCACACUUUGCAAGGAUGCUUCUUGAGAACAGCCCCCAAGAGGCUCAAGCAAAGAAGGCUCGGCAGGUGCUGCAAGCUUGCCAGGACAAGAAUGAUUCUCACGAACUGAACUACGACUUUAGAAAUCCAUUCGUUGUCUGCGGUGCUACAUAUGUUCCUAUCUACCGUGGCCAAAAGGAUGUUUCCUGCCCAUAUUGCGGAUCCCGGUUUGUACCUUCCAUCGAGGGGCAGCUUUGUACCAUAUGUGAGCUUGCCACAGUUGGAGCAGAUGCUUCAGGCCUCCUCUGCUCCCCUACACAAUUGAGAUAAGCAAUGGAAGCUACAGGCCCCUAUAUUCUUUCUAGUGUCAAAAGUUCUAAAUAGACUGCUGUGAUCACUUGCCAUAUGGUUUAGACUUAUGAUCAACCUAUGUAAGCUAUGCUAUACAAUGAUGUAUGCAAAGUUUAUCUCGCUCUUUACAAUUCUUUUUCGAUGUCUCGGGUUGCAUUGAAUCUGUAUCCUUACGUUGGUUUUAUGUGAUAUAUGUUGGUUACUCUUCAUCGGAUGGAUUUAUCGGGCCACCCUGUUUGAUGGCUCAUCUGCGAGAAGUGGAGGCGAGAAGCGAGAGCACCGUGUCAGCGCUGAAUGGAUCGAAUGUCAUGCGCGCAGCUGCCUUGCCUUUGAUGUGGUGGCCGCAUAAAUGGGUGAAUAUUUCCCUUUCGGUGAUGGGACUUCUAAUUUCCUUGUUGCUUACUUAUCACAUAUUCACAUAUAUGAAUGGUACGGUUCAAGGCUGGCAGAUAUUCCCUUGCCAUGGUACGGUUUUGUCCCAACAGAUUCGAAGGGUCUGCCCUGUUCUUACACUUCCGUUCUUACACCACGUUAAUAAACAAGUGCUGUUCGUUUG